UGGGAAAAUAUUGCCGCCAUAUUUGAAUAGAAAACAAAUUGUUCAAAUAUCCAUCUAUUUUGCAUUUAUUUAUGCCUAAAUUGACUUCUAGCCAUACAAAUCAAAACAGAGAGACUGUGUAAUGACAAAAUGUGAUAUCAUUGAUAGUAUUUAUGACUGUCAAAAUGGAUAAAAACUGUAAUCAAUCGAUUGUAAAAGUAGAUGAAACAAGUUCAAAACUAGAAAGUGAAAUCGAAAGUGAAAUAUUUUCCACUCCAAAGCUAAACAAAGUGAUUAAAUCCACGUCAAAAAGGAUUUCAUCCUACAAAAAACUUACUGAUACCUUCAAGUCUCCUGUAGUAAAACAAACUAAUGAAAAGAGGACUGGCCAAACUGCAGAUUCUUUGCAGUCAGAGAUUGAUGAAUUGUUGAGAAAAGAGAAUGAACUGGAUACAGAAAUAAAUCUGCUUGAACAACAAGAUCUCCAUGAGGAUGAACUAGCUAAUCAUAUAACCAUGCUGCAUAAAUACAAUGAAAUGAAAGAUAUUGGACAGAUGCUGUUAGGACGUAUUGCUCAUCAACAAGGAACAACAACGAAAGAUUUAUAUGAAAGGUACAACAUAGAUCUAAAUGAUGACUAACAAAAAGGCAAAAUUGAAAACCAGGCACCACUUUUAAUGUAAGAAGUGCCUUGACGUGUCAAGUAAGAAUCCCCUGUGCUGGAAUCGUGGGAAGUCAUGGAUCGUAGCGUGAUAUAUGAGAUACUGGAAAUAGCAAGAGAAACAGUAAUUACACAGCCUAUAUACAUACGGGAUUUAUGGAUAGAUAAUAUCUGAGUGAUUAUUGAAUUGAAUUUGAGAAACAUUAGGCUUAGGCCUGGAGAUCAGUUUCUUAGAGUGUAUGUUACCAAAAGAUCCUGUUCCUUAAAGUUUUCACAUAGCCCUUGUGCUUAACUCUUAAAAUAAAACCUGCCUUUACAGGGUGUCCAAAAAACAGGACCGUAAGAAAGUUGAAUAAUUCGGUCAAUUUUGCAUAUUUUGCCUUGAAAUUUUAGAAUUAUUUAGUUCAUUCAAUGUGAAUCUUGAUUUUAGAUUAUUUGAGACAAAGGGC
rnacentral:misc_RNA from 1 species